AAUAUAUAAUAAUAAUUAUGUUUACUUCUAUGUAAAAUAUAAAUGCUUGUCAUGAACAAGAAUAUGUACAUAAAAGUAAUGGAAUGCUGUAUGAAUGUUUUAGAGGGGAGUUCAGUUAGUUAGGGUUGCUUUUUUUUAAAAAUUAUUAUUAAUAGCUGUUUUUCAAUAAUGAAUUCAAUGACUUGAAAACCUGUUCGGUUAUCUGCUUUGUUUGCCACUUCCAGAACCUAGUUAUUGGGUGAUGAAUACCUUUCUUUUACCCGGACCAGCUUCUGCGUCCUAGCUUUUUUUUUAGUGUUAAAGCACAAAUAAAAUACCGACUUAAAGUGACCUGUGUUCCUUAGACCAUAACCCAGGCUUGCUUUUAUUUUUAAUGUCCCUGGGCUUGAAAUUGUGUUUAUUUUAUUUUUUUAUUAAUAAAUGUAUGGACUGUGGUAUAGUGAUUGACUCUUCGGACACAAUGUACCUUAACUUCUUUGCACUCCACAUUUUAUCCGACUAGUGUACAUUUCUAAUAAAUAUGGUAACAUAUUAUCUCAGGAUAUCUCAUCUCAGACAAUAGUUGUAAGUCACCAAGCCAAGUGUUACGUAAUGAUUUAUACAUAAUAUUUGUUGAUGUUUGGUAAAAUCAGUAGGGCUACAUCAGUAACAGAUACAAAAAAGUCUGUACUAAGCCACUUUAAAAAAACUCAAGUUAUUGCCAGCAAACAUGAACUAAGCAUUCAUUGCGGUACCUUCUGUUGGUUCUUAAUAUAGCUCAUCUUAAGUUCCUUUCAGAUAUCUAAUUAAAAUUUGUGGAUCGACAUUUUAUGACCUAUACGUAUGGUGACCAUCCUAUAGAUUGCCACAUUUUACUAGAAAUGUAUGAUUUCUGCAUUGAGUGGGGCAGAGCGUGAAAGUGCUCUCCCAUCGACUUGUGGAAUUCAUAUGCACCUAGUGUGAAAGAACGAAAUUAAAGGGACACUGUAGGCACCACAACCACUUGACAUCAUUAAAAUAGUUAUAGUGUCUGGAUUUCCUUGGUGUCAUUUACCUGCUCAGUGUUAAACUAUUUUUGAAUGGUUUAUCAUUUGGUAUAAAAUGAAAGGAGGGUCCCAAAGUGAAUGCAGUGUGUGUAGUGUGUGUGUAAAGUAAAUGUAGUGUGUGUGUGUAUAGUGAAUGCAGUGUGUUUGUGUAGU